CACCCUCCUCUCUCUCUCUCUCUCUCUCUCUCUCUCUCUCUUUCUUUCCCUUCGUCUCUCUCUCUCCCUCAAAACAAACGGAAAAUAGCAGAGCUCCUUUCGCGAACCCAGGCCGUGCAUGGCCAUUUCGGGGAAAAGCAAUUAAUGCUCGUCCUUUCCCCGUCAGAUUUCAACCAUGCCUUUGCUACUAUUUCGGGUCCGAGUGAAUUCAAGCUCGGAUUUUUGAUAGUGUUCGAGCAUAAAUCGAGACUCCGUACCCACUUCGCUGCACCCGAAGAAGGUAAAUUUCCUUCCAUUUAAUCAUUUUUGGGUUUUAUUUGUUGUUUUCUUACGGUGCUUUAAGUUUGCUGUUUAGCUUAAUUAUCUGCUAUUAGUAAUUUUAAGCAUGCUUAGAGUAUACUUGGUUGCCAUCGUAGUUUUAAAAAUGUUAUAAUAAGCCUAAUGUAGUUUUGCAUGCUUAUUCAUGUUUUAGUUAAACUCCUGUAGUUACGUUAGGAUAGGGUAAUUGUUGUAUGCCUAUUUAGAUGGCUAGUCUUCUAAUUGGUAGUGGUUUGAGCAAGAUAAAUAGCCAUUUUGUUUGCUGUUAGUUAGUUCCUUUGUUGCUAAUAGUCUAAGUAUGAUUAAGAUGUUAUGGUUGUUUCUAGUUGAUUAGUAAUUAUAUUUAGUGUAAUUCAGCAUAUUUGUUAAUUACAUUAUGAGCUGAUUGCUUGUUAAUAGUUCAGCAUGUUUAGCGUGUCUCUAUUCAGUACUUAAUUAGUAGUAGUUUAAUGUAAUCCAUGCUUUCACUUAUUAUUGAAACCUGUUUAAACUAAAUGGGAUCAGUGUCACCCCUAUUGAUCAAAUCAUGUUGCUAGUGACAUCUUAAGUGGUUCUGUUUGGGUUCUGUUUUCUAUGAAGAUCUGUUCAGCCCCUUGCUUAUCUAUUUGAUUUAUUGUUAAUAUGCCUUUUUUUUAGAUGUCCAUUUGUUGCAUGAAGUCCACUAUUAGCUUAGCUUAAGCUCAUUCCAUCUAAAUCCUGUGUCAAAACUUACCUGUGUGCAUUGUCCUGUCAACUUGUGUCUUAUUGAUUGAAUCCCUAGGCAGGAGUCCACACCUAAGUAUAGUACCAGUUGGUUAAAAUGGCGUGAGUAUUAACUCGGAGCAACAAGGUUUGUCUGCUUAGCUUAACAGGAUAUCACUAGAGUCAUUAUGCUAAUUUAUAAAUUAAAAUGGUAAAUCUGAAAUCAGUAUGAGUUACUUGGUUCAUUCAGUUUCUAACGUGAUAGAUAAGGAGAGGGGUCAAAUGGCUAGAGGGAUCUAAAUAGGACUCCAACAAAGCCUGAAUGCAGCCUCAAUCAACCUAUGAAUGUAUAGUACACUUGAAUGCAUAUCUAUGAUGUUUAAACAUGGCCAGAAGGCUGUCAUAUUGCAAUUGGUAUGAGUUUAAGUUCAUUAAAUAACUAUACUUAGUAUAAAAGGGGAUAAAUACUCAUGUAGCACACAUUUAGGAGAAUUAAAUGGGUUGUUAACUUUGAGUAAGCGAAAGUCUGUCAUUUGCCUUAUGAUUGGUUCUUAGAAGAGAACAUUUUUGUCCCUGUGGAUUGGCUGGAAUUGAGCUUCUUGUCUGGUUGUCAUGAACCGAGCCUCUUGCCUGGUUGUUUUGAAUCCUACAUAUCAUCUUCAGUUGACUCAAAUAUUUAACUUCCAUGCUAUGUAAUAUAGAUUUCCGCAUGAUAAUUAGUGAACUCAAUCCACGUCCCUUGUUAGUUAAUUGUAAGAAGUAUUACAUGUAUGAGAGUCCUAAGGUAAUGGGUCAAGUCUAGUAUAGGUAUCUUAAGUUUCUAUGUUGAUGGCUUAAGGCUAAGAUGUCUAGCUGCAUAUUGAUACUCCUCUGCUUCCCUGUAUCUGAGCUUGUUUCUCUUGUCUGCAUUUUACAUGUUUGUCUCAUAAAUAUCGCAUGAAUUGACAAUGCAUAUUCUUCCUUAGAAGUACAGUUUGAACCUGAGAAACGUGGGUAGUUGUUAGUCUCUUAUGAAAACACUCUUGCUUUAUUUUCUUGCGAUCCUAUAAGACUGUCGUUAAGGGUAAAAUCAUCUGAUAUACAUAGUCUAUACACAAUCCGCUGGUCUAUUUUUGAGUUUGCAAUUUAUAUGUUUGACCUUAUUCAUUGAUCAUAUACUAAUCUUUUUCCUUUCAUUUUAUGCAUGACCAUCGCAUACGAGUCCGAGGGACUCGUUCUUCUUCCGCAUUCGAUGUUGGGCUAAAAGCCCAACGUAAUCUCUCUCGUGUCCAGCCCACCCGCAGCAAUCUAUAUCCAUAUAAAAAAAGAUUUUUGGGCCAAAGCCCAACAGCAGCACUGAUCGCAGCAGUCUAAAAAAUGGUCUGAGCCAUUUCCCAACAGCAGCACCGAUCGCAGUGGUCUUAAAAAAUGGGCUGAGCUCAUUUAAUUUUAUUUACGCCUCUACUUGUUUUUGUGCAUUUAAUUUGUAUUAUUCGACUAACCCUUUGCUUUGUUUUUGUUUUCUUAACUUAGAUGAAUGCUAGUAAAAUUAGUGGGUUAGUCUUAGUAUAAUGGGUAGUUAAUGUAAAGGGGAAACUAAUAGUUAAUUCCAUAGGUUUCAUUUUUAUAUUAACAUCAUUUACAUUA